UGUUCUAUAACAUGUUUUAUUAGGAUUAACUGGACAAUCACAAAGUUACCAAACGGAGCUCACACACUGAAGCGAGGGGCAGUGGGCUUGGGUGGCACUUCCAGGACAAUCUCAUAGAGGAGGAUGCAGCCUGAUCCCAACACAGGACAAUCUCAUAGAGGAGGUGCAGCCUGAUCCCAACACAGGAGAAUCUCAUAGAGGAGGUGCAGCCUGAUCCCAACACAGGAGAAUCUCAUAGAGGAGGAUGCAGCCUGAUCCCAACACAGGAGAAUCUCAUAGAGGAGGAUGCAGCCUGAUCCCAACACAGGAGAAUCUCAUAGAGGAUGCAGCCUGAUCCCAACACAGGAGAAUCUCAUAGAGGAGGAUGCAGCCUGAUCCCAACACAGGAGAAUCUCAUAGAGGGGGUGCAGCCUGAUCCCAACACAGGAGAAUCUCAUAGAGGAGGAUGCAGCCUGAUCCCAACACAGGAGAAUCUCAUAGAGGAGGAUGCAGCCUGAUCCCAACACAGGAGAAUCUCAUUGAGAAGGAUGCAGCCUGAUCCCAACACAGGAGAAUCUCAUUGAGAAGGAUGCAGCCUGAUCCCAACACAGCACUAAGAGGAAGGCAAGUUAUCCACUCUGACAGCGGUCUUGAAGGUGUGCCUGCUGCACAGAGCACAGCACUCUGGAAUUACCGCCUCCGCUUCACUCCAAUUGAAAAACUUACACAGAGAUCAUUCAAACUUCAACCAUUUCAUCUAUUCUCUCGCUCCUCAAAUACAGGUUUUUGCCACCUUUUAAAAUUCUUCUUAAGCUUCCGUUUUGAUCAUGAGAAUGAAACACUGCAGCACUGGAUACAGAACCCACAGCACAGAGGAAGGGUGAGGAAAAAACAGUGAGGACCAGGGGGGGGGGUGUGUGGAGGGGAAACAGGGUUCCCCUAGUGAUUGCACAUAUAACAUUUAUCACUAUCUAUUAAUCCCUAUCUAGCACACUGAAAAAAAAACUCCAUGUAGAUACGUCCAGUUGCUGACUACACUAGAACUACAAUAUGUAUACACAGUGCGCUCAGGAUAGCAUAGGAGAGAGACAGAGAGAUACAAGACACCAAGUGUAUGAGGAUCAUUAGAAUAGUGAAGACACACAGAGGGAAAGAGGAUAUACAAUAAUAAGAUAACAUGGCACUGUUACCUAAGCAGGAGAGAGAGAGAGAGAGAGAGAGAGAGAAAGAAAGAAAG